rnacentral:lncRNA from 1 species
CGCCACUAAUUCAGUCAUUUGAGUUUUAUUUAAAAAUAAAGAUUUUACUUUUAAAAUAUAAUAAAUAUUAAGAAAAUAUUAAAAUAGUUUUUUUUCUGUCAAGGGUGAUAUAUUUUUGUUUGGAGGUUGAAAUAAGCCCAAUUACAAUCCUCUGUUGAAUAAUGCAUCUCUAAUUUCUGUCCAAAUCAAACAUUUCUGAAGGUCUGAGGAGAACAAAAACAGCUUGUUGCAUUUCCUCCAAGUAAGGAAAUUGAUAAAGCUUCUUGCAAAAACUGUAGAAGAACUGCAAAUGCUAACCGAACAAGUUUAAAGGUAAAAUAUUUAAUGUUUAUUUUACAAGUUCAGCACAGCCAUUCUGUUCAUUUAUUUAUUUGAAUUGCUGUACGUCAGUGCCACGUUACAAGCUUCACGGAUCUGCUAAAGGUGGUCUAGCAUUUUCCCGAAAAAAAAAAAAAGAAUUAAAAAUCAGGGCAUUUCAGCACCUUCAAAACAGCGCGACAUGCAAAUAAUCCAUCUAUCUAGAAGCUCAAUGGCUCAAGGGUAAUAUAUAUAUAACUUAUGGCUUUUUAAAAGCAAAAACAAAAAAGUGCAUCCAACACAAAAGUUCAAUUCCAGUCCGUGAUAAUGCAUCAUUUGUCUAAAGAAGUCCUCCUCAUAUCUCCAAACACUAGUUAUACUGCAGUUUCCCAGUGGCCUUUCAUUGUCUGAUUCUGAGUUCACAGGCCGUCCGGAGCAAAUGUUGUCCACAUGCUCCACAAGGACAUUUGUGACAUCUCUCCCUUCAAUAAAUAUGGCAGCUCCUCUUCUCGUCCGUCAGAAGCCACUACAAAAGAUGUGUCCAAUCCAAAACUCAACAAGUGAGUCCAAGACACAAAGUUUUCCAAAAAGCUGCAGCUCCCCUUUGUGGUCCAGCAGUGAUCUGCAGUGAAAUGGAUGGACACAGACAGAUGGGAAGGGAAUGUGGGAACCCUGUUUUGUGUCAGCCAGGAGUUAUUCGCUAUCAAAG